rnacentral:tRNA from 1 species
GUUUUUAUAAUUUAAUUAAAAUAUUGAUUUUGUAAAUCAAACUUAAGACCCUUCUUUAAAAACU